rnacentral:misc_RNA from 1 species
GAUGAAGGAACGUAGCGAAAUGCGAUAAGUAAUGUGAAUUGCAGAAUUCAGUGAAUCAUCGAAUCUUUGAACGCACCUUGCGCUCCUUGGUAUUCCGAGGAGCAUGCCUGUUUGAGUGUCAUGAAAUUCUCAACCUUUUCAGCUUUCUUUGUUGAUCAGGCUUGGAUGUGGGAGUAUGCGGGCUUCUCAGAAGUCGGCUCUCCUGAAAUGCAUUAGCGGGACCUUUGUUGCCUGGCUUUGGUGUGAUAAUUAUCUACGCCAUUGUAGUCAAGCAGCUUAAAAUGAGGUUUCAGCUUCUAACCGUCUCCCCUGAGACAACUUUUUGACAAUUUGACCUCAAAUCAGGUAGGACUACCCGCUGAACUUAAGCAUAUCAAUAAGCGGAGGA